rfam:Triticum aestivum genome assembly, contig: Triticum_aestivum_CS42_TGACv1_scaffold_308531_4AS
GAUGUACUCCCUCCGUCCUGAAUUACUUGUCUUAGAUUUGUCUAGAUACCGUAUCUAGACAUGUUUUAGCGUUAGAUACGUCCGUAUCUAGUCAAAUCCAAGACAAGUAAUUUGGGACGGGGGUAAUAUAUU